GCUUUUUGGCAGUGGACUGAGAAGGGAGAUAUACAGACAACAUCACACACCAGCAUCACAAGGGAGGCAAGAGUGAGGAGAAAGAGUGGUCUGGAUCUCUGGAUGAGGUCCCCUCUCCAACACUGAUGUUUUAAGAAAUUUCAAAGAUGAAACAAUUUGGGGAAGAAAUGGGGAAGAAAAACACACAUUUUUAAAUAAAGCUGUGCUUGAGGUAAAUACGGCAGUACAUUCAAGAGACUUCCACCAACUUCUGUCACUGUAAAAGCACUUAGAAAUAUUUUUGGACAACUUUCAGGAAUGACCUUCAUCAUUGCUUU
rnacentral:lncRNA from 1 species